GACGAACCGUCCAAACGUUAUUCGGAAUCACUGGGCUUAAAGGGUGCGUAGGCGGUCCGCUAAGUUGGGUGUGAAAGACCUCGGCCUAACCGAGGAAUUGCGCCCAAAACUGUCGGACUCGAGCAAGGCAGAGGUGAACGGAACUUAGGGUGGAGCGGUGAAAUGCGUUGAUAUCCUAAGGAACACCAGUAGCGAAAGCGGUUCACUGGGCCUUUUCUGACGCUGAUGCACGAAAGCCAGGGGAGCGAAC
rnacentral:rRNA from 1 species